UACGUAGGGGGGCUAGCGUUGUCCGGAAUCAUUGGGCGUAAAGCGCGUGUAGGCGGUCCGGUAAGUCCGCUGUGAAAGUCGGGGGGCUCAACCCUCGAAUGCCGGUGGAUACUGUCGGGCUAGAGUGCGGAAGAGGCGAGUGGAAUUCCUGGUGUAGCGGUGAAAUGCGCAGAUAUCAGGAGGAACACCUAUUGCGAAGGCAGCUCGCUGGGGACGUAACUGACGCUGAGACGCGAAAGCGUGGGGGAGCAAAACAGG
rnacentral:rRNA from 1 species